rnacentral:lncRNA from 1 species
AGCAAAGUUUAAAACAUUUGGUGGACUCCCGUAUAACUGUUACACAAAACUAUAUGAUACAAUGGUUUGGAGUGUUAUUAACUAUGGUGUUUCAAUCUGGGGUACAAAACAUUUCCCAUGUAUUGCUGCCGUACAAAAUCGAGCAGCUCGUUUCUUUAUGUGUGUAGGACGAUAUACGCCCAAUACAGCCGUACAUGGGGAUAUUGGUUGGACUCCGGUUAUAGUAAAACAAUGGAAAUCUGUGCUAAAUCAGUGGAAUAGACUUCGAAAUUUUGAUAGUGGACGAUUGAAUAAAAGGGUCUUUGUAUGGGCUGACAGUCAAGCCUUUUCAAACGCCAAAAACUGGAACUUUAAAAU